UAGGGAAUCUUCCACAAUGGACGCAAGUCUGAUGGAGCAACGCCGCGUGAGUGAAGAAGGUCUUCGGAUCGUAAAGCUCUGUUGUUGGUGAAGAAGGAUAGAGGCAGUAACUGGUCUUUAUUUGACGGUAAUCAACCAGAAAGUCACGGCUAACUACGUGUCAG
rnacentral:rRNA from 1 species